rnacentral:rRNA from 1 species
CCUACGGGAGGCAGCAGUGGGGAAUCUUGCGCAAUGGGCGAAAGCCUGACGCAGCCAUGCCGCGUGAAUGAUGAAGGUCUUAGGAUUGUAAAAUUCUUUCACCGGGGACGAUAAUGACGGUACCCGGAGAAGAAGCCCCGGCUAACUUCGUGCCAGCAGCCGCGGUAAUACGAAGGGGGCUAGCGUUGCUCGGAAUUACUGGGCGUAAAGGGAGCGUAGGCGGAUAGUUUAGUCAGAGGUGAAAGCCCAGGGCUCAACCUUGGAAUUGCCUUUGAUACUGGCUAUCUUGAGUACGGAAGAGGUAUGUGGAACUCCGAGUGUAGAGGUGAAAUUCGUAGAUAUUCGGAAGAACACCAGUGGCGAAGGCGACAUACUGGUCCGUUACUGACGCUGAGGCUCGAAAGCGUGGGGAGCAAACAGGAUUAGAUACCCUGGUAGUCCACGCUGUAAACGAUGAGUGNUAGUGUCGGCGAUGNANNNUGUCGGUGCGCGAGCUACGACAUAAGUACACUCCGCCGUCGGGUAGGUACGGUCGGCGAGUAAGUAAACGUAACUUAAUUAGUAGUUAGUUACGGCGNGAGAGNGCGACGACGACGACGAGGGAGGAGG